UGGGGAAUUUUGGACAAUGGGCGAAAGCCUGAUCCAGCAAUGCCGCGUGCAGGAUGAAGGCCUUCGGGUUGUAAACUGCUUUUGUACGGAACGAAAAAGCUUCUCCUAAUACGAGGGGCCCAUGACGGUACCGUAAGAAUAAGCACCGGCUAACUACGUGCCAGCAGCCGCGGUAAUACGUAGGGUGCAAGCGUUAAUCGGAGUUACUGGGCGUAAAGCGUGCGCAGGCGGUUAUGUAAGACAGAUGCGAAAUCCCCGGGCUCAACCUGGGAACUGCAUUUGUGACUGCAUGGCUAGAGUACGGUAGAGGGGGAUGGAAUUCCGCGUGUAGCAGUGAAAUGCGUAGAUAUGCGGAGGAACACCGAUGGCGAAGGCAAUCCCCUGGACCUGUACUGACGCUCAUGCACGAAAGCGUGGGGAGCAAACA
rnacentral:rRNA from 1 species